UGAACGCUGGCGGCGUGCCUAAUACAUGCAAGUAGAACGCUGAAGCUUGGUGCUUGCACCGAGCGGAUGAGUUGCGAACGGGUGAGUAACGCGUAGGUAACCUGCCUCUUAGCGGGGGAUAACUAUUGGAAACGAUAGCUAAUACCGCAUAAAAGUCGAUAUCGCAUGAUAUUGAUUUGAAAGGUGCAAAUGCAUCACUAAGAGAUGGACCUGCGUUGUAUUAGCUAGUUGGUGAGGUAACGGCUCACCAAGGCGACGAUACAUAGCCGACCUGAGAGGGUGAUCGGCCACACUGGGACUGAGACACGGCCCAGACUCCUACGGGAGGCAGCAGUAGGGAAUCUUCGGCAAUGGGGGCAACCCUGACCGAGCAACGCCGCGUGAGUGAAGAAGGUUUUCGGAUCGUAAAGCUCUGUUGUAAGAGAAGAACGAGUGUGAGAGUGGAAAGUUCACGCUGUGACGGUAUCUUACCAGAAAGGGACGGCUAACUACGUGCCAGCAGCCGCGGUAAUACGUAGGUCCCGAGCGUUAUCCGGAUUUAUUGGGCGUAAAGCGAGCGCAGGCGGUUAGAUAAGUCUGAAGUUAAAGGCUGUGGCUUAACCAUAGUACGCUUUGGAAACUGUUUAACUUGAGUGCAGAAGGGGAGAGUGGAAUUCCAUGUGUAGCGGUGAAAUGCGUAGAUAUAUGGAGGAACACCGGUGGCGAAAGCGGCUCUCUGGUCUGUAACUGACGCUGAGGCUCGAAAGCGUGGGGAGCAAACAGGAUUAGAUACCCUGGUAGUCCACGCCGUAAACGAUGAGUGCUAGGUGUUGGGUCCUUUCCGGGACUCAGUGCCGCAGCUAACGCAUUAAGCACUCCGCCUGGGGAGUACGACCGCAA
rnacentral:rRNA from 1 species